UACGGAGGGUGCAAGCGUUGUCCGGAUUUAUUGGGUUUAAAGGGUGCGUAGGCGGCCCGGUAAGUCAGUGGUGAAAGCCUCCAGCUCAACUGGAGAACUGCCAUUGAUACUGCCGGGCUUGAGUACAGACGAGGUUGGCGGAAUUGAUUGUGUAGCGGUGAAAUGCAUAGAUACAAUCAAGAACUCCGAUUACGUAGGCAGCUAACUAGGCUGUAACUGACGCUGAGGCACGAAAGCGUGGGGAGCGAACAGG
rnacentral:rRNA from 1 species